GUGACACGAAGGUUCCUCCCCUCCCUCCACAUUUCUAUAUUUCUCCGUGCAGUGACGCUUCAUGCAAACACACGCACGCACGCACAUACAGACCAGAAGCGAUACCCCGGUGGAAGCAGGAGGUGAAGAUGGAGCUGGAGAGGCCAAGGCUAGCAGCGGCAACACAGAGAGCAACAGGCGGUGCAAGAAUGGCGAGGUUUCCGCCAGUUAGAGGGAGCAUUAAGAGGAAGAUAUUCGCGCUCUCGUUACAUGGGGUCGCAUUACUUUUCAGAGAUCAUCCAGUGCUAAUAAAUGCUCCAGUAUGGUUUGCUUCCAUUGGAAUUUUGAAGAAGUGCAACCGCGUAGAAUGCUAGGGGGUCUCUCAAGGAUGCUGCACAGAAGCAUUGUCCAGUGCAGAUUGCAGGAAAUAAUCAAUUCUUACCCUGAAAAUUCAGGCUCAUUGGCAUCCAAUGAGCUCGUGCGCUAGUGUGUGGGUGCAGAUUGGACUAUGGUUUGUAAUUCAGCGUUUGAAGUUUGUUGUUAGUUCGUUAUAAGCAAUUCGAAGUUCAAAACUGUCUUUAUUGCUUUCUGGAGGGGAAUGACACCGUGCGUUUUCUGUUAUUUUCUUCUAUAUUCUUCAUUCUCUCCGCUUGACAGAGUAUUUUUAUUGCCUUAGUGACAAAAAUUGUGUAGUAUCAAACUAAAUGUUUGUGUACUUUUGACCUUCUUCUAAGUUCUCUUUGCCUUACCUUCUGUAAGUGGGCAGGCAACACAAUGCCAAUGGCCCCCUCUAAGCGCCCGAUUUUCGCACAUAGAGCAAAGGAUGACUUAGCUGAUCGGUAACAUCACUGGAGAUGAAAAGAUCAGGAGCCACGUAACUAUGAUUAUUUGACCCUGAUCCCUUCGCAGUUAACUCAUUCGAUUAGCUCGUAAUGGUGAAAAAUGGUGCAAUUGUCACCCGUUCCUUUAAUUUCCUCACGCCAGCAUCUGAAUGUAUUUCUUGCUCAAGAAAUGUACAAGAACAACAACUAGAUUCCCAAUCUGAAA